rnacentral:rRNA from 1 species
GACGAACGCUGGCGGCGUGCUUAACACAUGCAAGUCGAACGGAAAGGCCCUGCUUUUGUGGGGUGCUCGAGUGGCGAACGGGUGAGUAACACGUGAGUAACCUGCCCUUGACUUUGGGAUAACUUCAGGAAACUGGGGCUAAUACCGGAUAGGAGCUCCUGCUGCAUGGUGGGGGUUGGAAAGUUUCGGCGGUUGGGGAUGGACUCGCGGCUUAUCAGCUUGUUGGUGGGGUAGUGGCUUACCAAGGCUUUGACGGGUAGCCGGCAUGAGAGGGUGACCGGCGACAUUGGGACUGAGAGACGGACCAGACUCCUACGGGAGGCAGCAGUGGGGAAUAUUGCACAAUGGGCGGAAGCCUGAUGCAGCAACGCCGCGUGCGGGAUGACGGCCUGCGGGUUGUAAACCGCUUUCGCCUGUGACGAAGCGUGAGUGACGGUAAUGGGUAAAGAAGCACCGGCUAACUACGUG